GCCCACGUCAUGGCGCCUGAGGAGAACGCGGGUACCAAACUCUUGCUGCAGAGUUUCGAGCGCCGCUUCCUAGCGGCGCGCACACUGCGCUCCUUCCCCUGGCAGGUGGGCGGCGGGGCGAGCGGAGAGGCCUGCGGGGCUUGCGGAAGUCCAGGGGCAGACGGGAUGGGUCUCCCUGCUGAAACCCCCGGCGCUCCUGCCACGUGCACCCUGCGACAUCUGAAGGUCAGGCUUUCAGCCGCUGUGGCUUCCACUUCCAACUGGCUCCGCGUCCCCAGGGAGGGAUCACAUAGCGCUUUGCCAACACAUUCUAUUGCGUGUUUUAAUGUUCCUGUGAAUGCGCCCUUGAGAUUUCUCUCUCUCCCGUCCACACGGAGCUUAGAAGCAAAAUUAAGAGACUCAUCAGAUUCUGAGCUGCUGCGGGAUAUUUUGCAGAAGCACGAGGCUGUCCACACGGAGCUUUUGGACGAGCUGUACGAGGCGCUGGCAGAGACCCUGAUGGCCAAGGAGUCCACCCAGGGCCACUGGAGCUAUUUGCUGCCCUCGGAAGGCUCGGUCACACUCUCCGAGCACAGCCAUCAUCUCCCACGGUACCACAGGCCUGGUCACAUGGGACGCUGCCCGCUACCUUGCAGAAUGGGCCAUCAAGAACCUGGCAGCCUUCACUAACAGGACUGUCCUAGAGCUUGGCAGUGGCGCCGGCCUUACAGGCCUGUCCAUCUGCAAGAUGUGCCACCCCCGGACAUACAUCUUCAGCGACUGUCACAGCCGGGUCCUCGAGCAGCUCCGAGGGAAUGUCCUUCUCAAUGGCCUCUCAUUAGAGGCAGACAUCACUGCCAACUUAGAUAGCCCCAGGGUGACAGUGGCCCAGCUGGACUGGGAUGUAGCGACGGUCCAUCAGCUCUCUGCCUUCCAGCCAGAUGUUGUCAUUACAGCAGGUAAUGCCCAGCCCCGGGCAUCCUGUGCAGGCGGUGUCCUUGCAGCUCUACCCAGCUCUUGGCUCUGGGAAAAGGGAACAGUGGAUGCUGUCGGGCAUGGACAUGAUGGGGCUUCCAGAAGAGUUACUCCGGGCCUCCAGGGGGACAUCAAAGGACAGGGGUGCCUCUUAAGGUGACCUUCAAGCCACAGCCCUCUUGUUGGAGACAGGCAUACUCCCGUUACAGUCGUCACCACACGGCUCUGUUCCAGAGCCAUGCCCUGUGUCCUUCAGAGACCACAGGAGGAAAACAACCACUUCUGGGAUGAGGACAGGGCCCUUGGGAGAAGGUGGUGUUUGGCUGGGCCACCAAAAACCCCUCACCCCUGCCAGCACACUCAGUCCCCUCUCUGGUGGAACAGAGCUCUGCCUGUGGUCCUGGGUCCCAGCCCUGAAACCCACAGGUCCAGCGGUGGCCAGGGACAGAGGCCCACCCCUGCAAGCCAGCAGACCAAUCGGCAGACACCUGAAACACGAAGUUCACGGUAGGGUCAGGCUUUCUGCCAUUCAAAGCCCUCUAGAUAGGCCCAGAACCAGAGCUGGUUUUUUAAGGAA
rnacentral:lncRNA from 1 species